GCCGGCAGGUGCAGAGAGUUCUGCUCCCCACCCUUUGGGUCCCAGCCAGGUGUCCCCUCCUUCAAGAAGCUCACGCUGGUCCCUAGGCAGGGUCAGGCCCCUAUUCUGGCUCCCGCAGUUCCCCGGGGCCAGCGACCUGAACACUCUAGGCUGUCACUCUGGAGAGAAUCUACCCCAUCCCCCAAAGCCCCCUUAAGUGGAGAGAAAGAUUGCAGAGUGGGGGAAGAGAGCCUGCCCUGUCCCCGGGCACAGGCAACCCUGGAGGAUCCGGCCCCAGGCUCCUCGGUGACCUCCAGGGCCCUGGGCUGCCCCUGUGCUGACCCUUGUGUUUACCUGCUUGGGGAACCAGAUUCUGGACGCUUCCCAGUGCGAUCCCAGGAGCGGAACUGGGAGAAGCUGCCCAGCGGGCAGCAGGUGGACAGACGCUGCCAUCAAGCCGCACCGUGUUCCCUGGCGCUAGGCCAGGUGGGGGUCAGCGCCCAGGAUCCAGGCAGGCCCGAGCAGGAGCGGGCUCCCCACCCCGGGUCCCCCUCCCUCCCGAGACGCUGGUUCUGCCGGCUGGGCCGGUUGGGGUUCCUCCCUGAAACUCUCCCACGCUGCUGGGCCCGGCACAGGGAAGUCUCCGGGUCCCACCCACCUGCGCCGCCACCUCCUCCCUCGGGAGGAGGGAGUCUUGAGACCCCUCUGGCAAAGGAGGCAGCUCCAGUUCCGAGUGGGAGAUGGGGUUGUCUGAGGUCACACAGCGAGAGGGUGGCCGGGCAGAGCGGCUGUCUCAAGUCUGUCCAACUCCGCACUUGGAAGUCGCCCGCCAUGAAAGACACCCCUUCCUCCUUUGUAAAGGGGCGAGGACCCUUGCGCGCGGCCCACCCAGCCGCCCAGGAGCGGAGCUGGCGGCAGGGGCCCGUGCUGGAUGACCUCACCAGAAGUCAUUCACUCUCCCUCAGAGCGCUGUGUCACCACGCCAGGGAGGCCUCGCGAGUGACCGAGGCACGCGUCAUGGUCGAGCCGGGCGCCCCACGGGCCUGGGGAGCAGGUGGCCAUGUGCACCCCGCCGCUACUUUUUCUGCACAGCCGGAUGAGAGGGGCCUGCCUUCCAACUUUGUGGCCUUUGUUGUUUUUUUUUCUUGA
rnacentral:lncRNA from 1 species